rnacentral:rRNA from 1 species
AGCGAACGCUGGCGGCAGGCCUAACACAUGCAAGUCGAGCGCACCUUCGGGUGAGCGGCGGACGGGUUAGUAACGCGUGGGAACAUACCCUUUUCUACGGAAUAGCCUCGGGAAACUGAGAGUAAUACCUUAUACGCCCUUUGGGGGAAAGAUUUAUCGGAGAAGGAUUAGCCCGCGUUAGAUUAGGUAGUUGGUGGGGUAAUGGCCUACCAAGCCUACGAUCUAUAGCUGGUUUGAGAGGAUGAUCAGCCACACUGGGACUGAGACACGGCCCAGACUCCUACGGGAGGCAGCAGUAGGGAAUCUUAGACAAUGGGGGCAACCCUGAUCUAGCCAUGCCGCGUGUGUGAUGAAGGCCCUAGGGUCGUAAAGCACUUUCGCCAGAGAUGAUAAUGACAGUAUCUGGUAAAGAAACCCCGGCUAACUCCGUGCCAGCAGCCGCGGUAAUACGGAGGGGGUUAGCGUUGUUCGGAAUUACUGGGCGUAAAGCGCACGUAGGCGGAUUAGUAAGUUAGAGGUGAAAUCCCAGGGCUCAACCCUGGAACUGCCUUUAAUACUGCUAGUCUUGAGUUCGAGAGAGGUAAGUGGAAUUCCGAGUGUAGAGGUGAAAUUCGUA